rnacentral:rRNA from 1 species
AAUAUUGCACAAUGGGCGCAAGCCUGAUGCAGCCAUGCCGCGUGUAUGAAGAAGGCCUUCGGGUUGUAAAGUACUUUCAGCAGUGAGGAAGGUGGGUAUGUUAAUAGCAUACUCAUUUGACGUUAGCUGGCAGAAGAAGCACCGGCUAACUCCGUGCCAGCUAGCCGCGGUAAUACGGAGGGUGCGAGCGUUAAUCGGAAUUACUGGGCGUAAAGCGCAUGCAGGUGGUUUGUUAAGUCAGAUGUGAAAGCCCGGGGCUCAACCUCGGAAUUGCAUUUGAAACUGGCAAACUAGAGUACUGUAGAGGGGGGUAGAAUUUCAGGUGUAGCGGUGAAAUGCGUAGAGAUCUGAAGGAAUACCGGUGGCGAAGGCGGCCCCCUGGACAGAUACUGACACUCAGAUGCGAAAGCGUGGGGAGCAAACAGGAUUAGAUACCCCUGGUAG